rnacentral:rRNA from 1 species
AUACGUAGGGGGCGAGCGUUGUCCGGAAUGAUUGGGCGUAAAGGGCGCGUAGGCGGCUUUGCAAGUCAGAAGUGAAAUUCCUGAGCUCAACUCGGGCGCUGCUUCUGAAACUGCAGGACUUGAGUGCUGGAGGGGAUAGCGGAAUUCCUAGUGGAGCGGUAAAAUGCGCAGAUAUUAGGAGGAACACCGGUGGCGAAGGCGGCUUUCUGGACAGUAACUGACGCUGAGGCGCGAAAGCGUGGGGAGCAAACAGGAUUAGAUCCCCUGGUAGUCCACGCCAUAAACGAUGAAUACUAGGUGUAGGGGGUAUCGACCCCCUCUGUGCCGACGUUAACACAUUAAGUAUUCCACCUGGGGAGUACGGCCGCAAGGCUGAAACUCAAAUGAAUUGACGGGG